rnacentral:lncRNA from 1 species
AAGUCAAAGCCAAAAGCCACCUCUGGAAGGAGAGCCAUUCACACUGAGGUCACAAGUGGUUCACAGACACUCAGUGAGAACGCUACAGUAAUGUGGCCAUUUAUUUUGUAGCUGCAUUGCUACUAAAAAUGGACUGUCAUUCAUCACACCUUCUGAGAAAGCAAAGGAUAUGCAGAAUAGAGCAUAAAUAUCUGAAAAAGAAACUGAUGUUUACCUCUAGGAGUAAAGGACUCAUCGCAGGGGCUCAUAUCCCCCAGGACGAACAGAAGAUUUUCCUUCUAGGACAGAAAGAAGAUUUUCCUGCCACUUUUGCCAUCUGGAAAUUUUGGAUCGCCCAUCCUUCCUGGAAGAGAUGUAUAUGUUCCUAUAAAUAUAAAUCGUAA